CUAGAAAUGGCCUUAAUGUCCACUCAACUCUUCUGCCAACGUGAAGCAGCUGGACACAAUCUGGCCUCUACCUUUGGAAAGGUAAAAAAAAAAAAAAGCCUUGUUACUGUAUGUAAGACUUGAUAUAUGCUGAGUUGCUGGGAUACUUUAGUGACCCUUUUCAUUCUUUCUCAAUUUUCUAACAGUGUGGGACUUUGUGCCACAGCAUCUAAAGAGCAGAAAAUGCAUCUCAGAGAGGGGGUAGAAAGAAAAAGCUACCACAGAUCCUGCUGUGGGAACUCCAACAGGUUGAACAGACCACCUCCUUAAGUUUCUUUGGCAGUCCUGCAGAAAUUGUGCUGGAGAGCUGGAGAUCACUGUGUGAGAAAUGAGCCUGAGAUCCGGAGUCACAGUGCUCCCACUUGGUAUGACACCCUAUCAUCCUGUAAACAACAGGACACCCACCACAGAAUGCUGCCUAAAUGGGCAAGUUUCCAUGAUGGUGGCGAUGUCGCCAGCAGAAUGCACGCUGGGGUGUCACAACAAGCAGGAGCUGGUGAUCAGCAGUGGAUCUAAGUCAACAAGACAUGUAGAAAAUUGA
rnacentral:lncRNA from 1 species